rnacentral:rRNA from 1 species
GAUGAACGCUGGCGGCGUGCCUAAUACAUGCAAGUCGAGCGAACAGACGAGGAGCUUGCUCCUCUGACGUUAGCGGCGGACGGGUGAGUAACACGUGGAUAACCUACCUAUAAGACUGGGAUAACUUCGGGAAACCGGAGCUAAUACCGGAUAAUAUAUUGAACCGCAUGGUUCAAUAGUGAAAGACGGUUUUGCUGUCCCUUAUAGAUGGAUCCUCGCCGCAUUAGCUAGUUGGUAAGGUAACGGCUUACCAAGGCAACGAUGCGUAGCCGACCUGAGAGGGUGAUCGGCCACACUGGAACUGAGACACGGUCCAGACUCCUACGGGAGGCAGCAGUAGGGAAUCUUCCGCAAUGGGCGAAAGCCUGACGGAGCAACGCCGCGUGAGUGAUGAAGGUCUUCGGAUCGUAAAACUCUGUUAUUAGGGAAGAACAAAUAUGUAAGUAACUAUGCACGUCUUGACGGUACCUAAUCAGAAAGCCACGGCUAACUACGUG